rnacentral:rRNA from 1 species
GGGUUGUGAGGUUAAGCGACUAAGCGUACACGGUGGAUGCCCUGGCAGUCAGAGGCGAUGAAGGACGUGCUAAUCUGCGAUAAGCGUCGGUAAGGUGAUAUGAACCGUUAUAACCGGCGAUUUCCGAAUGGGGAAACCCAGUGUGUUUCGACACACUAUCAUUAACUGAAUCCAUAGGUUAAUGAGGCGAACCGGGGGAACUGAAACAUCUAAGUACCCCGAGGAAAAGAAAUCAACCGAGAUUCCCCCAGUAGCGGCGAGCGAACGGGGAGGAGCCCAGAGCCUGAAUCAGUGUGUGUGUUAGUGGAAGCGUCUGGAAAGGCGCGCGAUACAGGGUGACAGCCCCGUACACAAAAAUGCACAUGCUGUGAGCUCGAUGAGUAGGGCGGGACACGUGGUAUCCUGUCUGAAUAUGGGGGGACCAUCCUCCAAGGCUAAAUACUCCUGACUGACCGAUAGUGAACCAGUACCGUGAGGGAAAGGCGAAAAGAACCCCGGCGAGGGGAGUGAAAAAGAACCUGAAACCGUGUACGUACAAGCAGUGGGAGCACGCUUAGGCGUGUGACUGCGUACCUUUUGUAUAAUGGGUCAGCGACUUAUAUUCUGUAGCAAGGUUAACCGAAUAGGGGAGCCGAAGGGAAACCGAGUCUUAACUGGGCGUUAAGUUGCAGGGUAUAGACCCGAAACCCGGUGAUCUAGCCAUGGGCAGGUUGAAGGUUGGGUAACACUAACUGGAGGACCGAACCGACUAAUGUUGAAAAAAUUAGCGGAUGACUUGUGGCUGGGGGUGAAAGGCCAAUCAAACCGGGAGAUAGCUGGUUCUCCCCGAAAGCUAUUUAGGUAGCGCCUCGUGAAUUCAUCUCCGGGGGUAGAGCACUGUUUCGGCAAGGGGGUCAUCCCGACUUACCAACCCGAUGCAAACUGCGAAUACCGGAGAAUGUUAUCACGGGAGACACACGGCGGGUGCUAACGUCCGUCGUGAAGAGGGAAACAACCCAGACCGCCAGCUAAGGUCCCAAAGUCAUGGUUAAGUGGGAAACGAUGUGGGAAGGCCCAGACAGCCGAGGAUGUUGGCUUAGAAGCAGCCAUCAUUUAAAGAAAGCGUAAUAGCUCACUGGUCGAGUCGGCCUGCGCGGAAGAUGUAACGGGGCUAAACCAUGCACCGAAGCUGCGGCAGCGACGCUUAUGCGUUGUUGGGUAGGGGGAGCGUUCUGUAAGCCUGCGAAGGUGUGCUGUGAGGCAUGCUGGAGGUAUCAGAAGUGCGAAUGCUGACAUAAGUAACGAUAAAGCGGGUGAAAAGCCCGCUCGCCGGAAGACCAAGGGUUCCUGUCCAACGUUAAUCGGGGCAGGGUGAGUCGACCCCUAAGGCGAGGCCGAAAGGCGUAGUCGAUGGGAAACAGGUUAAUAUUCCUGUACUUGGUGUUACUGCGAAGGGGGGACGGAGAAGGCUAUGUUGGCCGGGCGACGGUUGUCCCGGUUUAAGCGUGUAGGCUGGUUUUCCGAGGCAAAUCCGGAAAAUCAAGGCUGAGGCGUGAUGACGAGGCACUACGGUGCUGAAGCAACAAAUGCCCUGCUUCCGGGAAAAGCCUCUAAGCAUCAGGUAACAUCAAAUCGUACCCCAAACCGACACAGGUGGUCAGGUAGAGAAUACCAAGGCGCUUGAGAGAACUCGGGUGAAGGAACUAGGCAAAAUGGUGCCGUAACUUCGGGAGAAGGCACGCUGAUAUGUAGGUGAAGUCCCUCGCGGAUGGAGCUGAAAUCAGUCGAAGAUACCAGCUGGCUGCAACUGUUUAUUAAAAACACAGCACUGUGCAAACACGAAAGUGGACGUAUACGGUGUGACGCCUGCCCGGUGCCGGAAGGUUAAUUGAUGGGGUUAGCGCAAGCGAAGCUCUUGAUCGAAGCCCCGGUAAACGGCGGCCGUAACUAUAACGGUCCUAAGGUAGCGAAAUUCCUUGUCGGGUAAGUUCCGACCUGCACGAAUGGCGUAAUGAUGGCGGGCUGUCUCCACCCGAGACUCAGUGAAAUUGAACUCGCUGUGAAGAUGCAGUGUACCCGCGGCAAGACGGAAAGACCCCGUGAACCUUUACUAUAGCUUGACACUGAACAUUGAGCCUUGAUGUGUAGGAUAGGUGGGAGGCUUUGAAGUGUGGACGCCAGUCUGCAUGGAGCCGACCUUGAAAUACCACCCUUUAAUGUUUGAUGUUCUAACGUUGACCCGUAAUCCGGGUUGCGGACAGUGUCUGGUGGGUAGUUUGACUGGGGCGGUCUCCUCCUAAAGAGUAACGGAGGAGCACGAAGGUUGGCUAAUCUGGUCGGACAUCAGGAGGUUAGUGCAAUGGCAUAAGCCAGCUUGACUGCGAGCGUGACGGCGCGAGCAGGUGCGAAAGCAGGUCAUAGUGAUCCGGUGGUUCUGAAUGGAAGGGCCAUCGCUCAACGGAUAAAAGGUACUCCGGGGAUAACAGGCUGAUACCGCCCAAGAGUUCAUAUCGACGGCGGUGUUUGGCACCUCGAUGUCGGCUCAUCACAUCCUGGGGCUGAAGUAGGUCCCAAGGGUAUGGCUGUUCGCCAUUUAAAGUGGUACGCGAGCUGGGUUUAGAACGUCGUGAGACAGUUCGGUCCCUAUCUGCCGUGGGCGCUGGAGAACUGAGGGGGGCUGCUCCUAGUACGAGAGGACCGGAGUGGACGCAUCACUGGUGUUCGGGUUGUCAUGCCAAUGGCACUGCCCGGUAGCUAAAUGCGGAAGAGAUAAGUGCUGAAAGCAUCUAAGCACGAAACUUGCCCCGAGAUGAGUUCUCCCUGACCCUUUAAGGGUCCUGAAGGAACGUUGAAGACGACGACGUUGAUAGGCCGGGUGUGUAAGCGCAGCGAUGCGUUGAGCUAACCGGUACUAAUGAACCGUGAGGCUUAACCUUACAACGCCGAAGCUGUU